CCCCUAGACGUUCUGGGCUGCACGCGCGCUACAAUAAUACGCACAGCGAGUAUCACCGAGCUCGAAAGGGCAAGGUAAACAAUAGAAAAGGUACUGUAAUGGUUAUAGAUCCUUGUAAUUAUUGAUCUUCAACGAGGAAUUCCUAGUAAGUAUGUGUCAUCCUCACGCACUGAUUACGUCCCUGCCCUUUGUACACACCGCCCGUCGCUCCUACCGAUUGGGUGAGCCGAUGAAACUCUCGGAUGUAGGCUAUUCAUAGCCCGCAGAAGAGAUUUGAAUCGUAGCGCUUAGAGGAAGGAGAAGUCGUAACA
rnacentral:rRNA from 1 species